UGUCUUCCCUGUUUAUUACACUUGUACUUUUUAUAACUUGCUUUUUAAUUACAAAAUUAUUUUUAAACAUAAUAUUGCACAGAUUCUACACACAUGAAUAAUAAUAAAUAAAGAAAUGGGUACUAAUGUCAUUUUUACCAAAGUAACUAUAGUGAAUUACCAAACCUUCUUAAAGCAAGGAAUUUCGUGAUAGCUUCCAAACUUUUUGAAACUUAGAAAGUUCUCGACACAUCUAUGAUAUGGCGGAGAUUCCUUGCUGACAUUUAUAUUCCAUUUAUUUUGACUUUGGAGCUGUGAAGAAAGAUAUGUUUACUUGACUUUUUCUCCGUUUUUCUUAAUUAGUUUCUCGCUUAACAUUUAUCGAAGAAUAUUUCAGUCAAUGUUAUCUCAAAUUCUACAAAAAUUUCUAUCAACCUAAGAAGGAAAAAAAAAAAUGUAUAAUUGGGAUAAAACGGAUGAAAGUUUGGUCAAUCAAAUGUGUUUUUGUUGUAUAUCUCCAAGAUUCGUUCCUGCAACAUUUUCAACUUUCCAGUCUGCAGAAGAAACAAAACCAGGUAUCCCUUGUGAUGGGUUAUUGGAUACAGUCAUUCCAAAGCAAAUUGAAAGUAAUUCCAACACUGUAACUAAGCAACCAAUGGAAAGAAAUUUGGUACCUGGCCAGAAUACUAUGCUAGUGUGUUCCCCCAAUGCUCUUCACACAGCUGCCAUAACUGGAGACUAUGCAGAACUGGCAAGACUCUUACACUCGAACACUUUCCCUAUUGAUGGUAUUGAUCAGUUUGGUCGCACUCCACUCAUGUACUGUGUGUUAGCAGAUCGACCUCAUUGUGCCAAACUUUUGCUUAAGGCAGGUUCCAAUGUUAACAUUAAAGAUAAAGGUGGCCGUACAGCUCUGCAUGGAGCUGCGCAUAAGGGUAAUUUUCGUCUAUUGAAAUUACUCUUAUCAAGAAAUGCAAACUGCCGUGAGAAAGACAAUGAAGGUCAAACUGCGAUGCAUUUAUGCACCAGGCACAAGUCUUUAAAGAGUCUGACACUUUUACUAAAACAAUUGACACCUGGGGAAAUAGAUGAUCAAGAUAAAUACAAGAGAACAGCACUUCACAGAGCAGCAUCCUAUGGCAAUAUUGAUCAUGUAAAGAUGCUUAUUAAACAAGGAUCCAAUAUCAGCAUUCCAGACAGUGAAGGUAAAACUCCCCUCCAUUGGGCUGCUAGCAGUAGAGACCCCACAGCUGUCUCCUGCGUUAAAGUGCUUCUUGAAACUGCUCCUAGUGUAAUCAAUUGGCAGGAUUAUGAGGGGAGAACAGCCUUACAUUUAGCUGUAGCAGAUGGCAAUGAAGCAGUUGUCAAAGUACUGACUUCUUUUGAGACGUGUAAUGUAUCACAACUAGAUAACAAUUUUCGAACAGCUCUGCACUGGGCAGCUGACCUUGGUCACUCACAAAUCAUCAGUAUUUUACUGGACAAUGGUGCUGAUUAUGCUUGUUCAGACUCCAACAGUGCUACUCCACUUCACUAUGCUGCCAAAAACAAUUGUGCUCAAACAGUUGAGGUUUUCCUUUCUCGAAAGAAUGUCACUGAUGAACCAGAUGUUGAAGGUCACACAGCAUUCAUGUGGGCUGCUGGAAAAGGAGCUGACGAAGUUAUAAAAACCUUUAUUAAGUAUAAUGUAGAUAUCCAGCAAGUUGAUAAGAAUAAUGAAACAGCUCUACAUGCAGCAGCCCUCUCAGGUCACUCUUCUACAGUUCAGCUUCUUUUGGAAAAUGGGGCUCACAUCAAUGGAACAAAUUUGAUGAAACAUACACCUUUAUUGCGUGCCUGUGAGAUGGGUCAUACAGAUGUUGUUCAAUGUUUGAUAGAAUGGGAUGCCAGGGUGGAUAUGUUUGACCAGGAUGGCCAUUCUCCAUUACACUGGGCAGCUCUUGGAGGACAUGCAAAUAUCUGCCAGAUUCUCAUAAGCUAUGGCAUUGAACCAAACAGUCAAGACCGCUUAGGGAGAACCGCAUUACAAUGUGCUGCAUAUGGUGGUUUUGUAAAUUGCAUGUCCAUGUUGAUGGAACAUAUGGCUGACCCUAACGUACAAGACUUCGAGGGGAAAACUGCCACUCAUUGGGCCUGUAGGCGUGGUCAUCUGGAUGCUGUGAAACUUUUAAUGCAAUAUGGAGCCUUACCAAAUUAUAUGGAUUUCACUGAAGAUCGGUACACACCCCUUGACUAUGCAUUGAUGGAGGAACACCAUGAUGUAGCUCAGUACAUGAUUGAACAAGGAGCAUUAUCAAUUAUUGGCAUCCAAGAUAUUGCAGCACAGAAAAUACAGUCUUCCUUUCGGGGUUAUCGUGUCCGGAAGACUUUCACAGAGAGAAAACGUCUUCUUAUGAAACAUGAACAGCUAAAGAAAGAAGUGGCCAGAAAACGAGCUGAAGAAGAAGGUAAAAAGAAAGAUGACCGACCAACUCCUUCAGAUGGAGAAAUAUGAUGCAGGACUAUUUUUUUGGUCCUUGUACUUUCUUAAAUUUGUAUGGCUCAACUAAUUCUGAAAUUCAGAAUGAAAAAUAAUAAUCUCCAGUAGGGAAAAAAAAUGAAUCUCAAGUUCUUCCAAUCAUUUCUGAUUUGAUAUCAUUGUUGCUGUUAUGGCUAAAACACUACAAUACCUGAAAUGAUUCACAAAUUUUACCAGCAUUCUUUUGUAAACAUCAUUUUGAAAUGUUUUGUUUCAAAAUGAAACAAAAACUUAACUCAAUAUUAUUAUUUCAAGUUUUUAAUUUAAUGCAGUAUUGUACAGCAACUGGCAUUCAUAAAUAUUUGGAUGGUCAGUUUUUUUUCUUGCCAAAUAAGUCUUCAGCAGCCCCCAUGGACUAGGCGGAGCAGGAAGAUACAUGAGGAUGGAAAGGGUCGCUGAAGAGGUCACAGAUGUGUGACAAAAGGUUUCCAGACAAUGAACAGAAUAUAAAAUUGAGAACAAUAAUAAAUGAGUGAAAAAUGAAUAUAUAAGUGCAUAUGUUUAUUUAGCAAGAAGAAAAAAAAUGACCACCCUGAAACAUAGCAAUACCAUAUAUAUAUAUAUAUAUAUAUAUAUAUAUAUAUAAUGUACACACACACACACAUAUCAUCAUUAUCAACACCACCAUUACUCUCACUUAACAUCCAUUUUCCAUAGAAACUUGUAUUUUCAGUAUUCUGCAAUCACAUGGCUCACUCCACUAUGUUCUUGAUUCCCUUCUUUCAAAUAUGCUCCUGCAAUAACACUCCUAACAUAUCUUUCCAUAACUCUCUGUGUCAUAGCCAGUUGUUGUUCUCUCUUCAUCAUAGUCUCAUAUCUCAUUUGCUUACAAGAGCCAUGAACUGGAUGAGGCUAUUGAGGAGAUUAGCAGGCAAACUCUUGUCCAGCUAUGUUUUGAACACAUCUUAGAUUGUGGCAUAUGCCUUCCAUCCACUAUUUUGCAUGAGAUUUCAGUAUUUGUAACUUGGUUUAUAUUUACUGCCUGUCGUCAGCAAACAUAUUCUUUCAUCUCCUCCGUUUCAUCAUAUACUUGUAGACUUGGUUACAAAGUACAUACAUACUCCUUAUGGUACAUCAUAAGCUUUAGUGAAGGAAUUUUCACUUGAAGGACUCGAUAGAAGGGCUCAAUAAAAUAUUCACUAUUUGGGUAGGCAAUACUGUUUCAAAUUUUGGCACAAGGCCAGCAGGAAAGUCAAUUAUAUCAAUCCCAGUACUUGACUAUUUGAAUUGUAUUGCAUUUUAUUGACCCCCAAAAGGAUGAAAGGUAAACUCAACCCAAACGGAAUUUGAACUCAGAACAUAGAGUUCACAAUAAUUGCUGCUAAGUAUUUUGUGAUGUGCAAAUGCUUCUGCCAGCAUGCUGCCUUGUAACAUGUAAAUAAUAAUAAUAAUAACAAUAACAACAACGAAGUAGAACAAAAAGUAAAUAAUUUAUUGAAGGUAAUUUACAGAGGACUGAAAAAAAAAUGUAGUUGAACAAAUUGUUAUAAGUACAGUCAAACAAUUGCACAUACACUUAUAGCAAACCUAAAGACAGGUUGAAGAAAACGUAUUCA